GAGUGUCUGGGUGCGAGGAUCAGGGCCCACUUUCCGGGCACAGGUGAGGGACACAGGUUGGCGGGAGUGUCCCUGUUGCAGCUUGGGGAAGCUCUGGGGUCCGCGGGGCGCGGUCCAGGCAGGCGCCUGCUGGCCUGGAGAUGCUGCCCCGCCCCGGGAGGGCGGGCCGGGCUGGGGAGAAGUGUACAAAAAGCGCCCAGCCGCCGCCCAGCAGCUAGCGGAGCAGCGGGCGGAGCACUGACCAAGAUUCAGUCUUCAGACCAAAGAGUUACAGUAAGUCUUCAGCCUCUUAAAAACAGUAACGCACUAAAGGGAAGGGGAACAAAAAAGGUUUUCUUUAGGGGGAAGUGUUUCCUUUUUGGGGUUUGGAGACAACCUUGCUAUGUGGCUUAGGUUGGUUAACCUUAAACUCAAUCUUCCUGCCUCAGCUUUCUGAGUGCUGGGAUGACUGGUGUGUUGCACCACACCCAGCAAUAGACUGCCCUGUUUUUGAAACAGGGGCUGCUUGGACCUGCAGCUUGGAAGGGCUUUACACUUUUGACCCUCUUGUCUCAGCUUCCCUGAGGCAAGGGUGGCUACCACCCUUCCUUGUAAACUUGGCUAGUUUUAAAACCUGAAACUCUUGUUAGUUUUUAUUGCCUUGCUUCUGCACCUUUACGUAGGGUAGACGGUAACAGCCUAGAUUGGUUGGUUUUCAACCAUACCUGGUUUUGGCCCUAGGGGAUAUCUGGCAAUGUUUGAAAGCAUUUUGGGCUGUCAUAAGUUAUAGAUUAGUAGCGUGCUACUGGCCUCUAAGGGCUUGAAGCCAGACACUGCCGAAGGGGCGGGGAAAGAGUAAUCAAAAGUGCUAAGCUCCCUGCCCAUUUUGAACUUGAAAACUGUCCUCUAACAGGCUCCAAAAUGGACACAGGACUAUGUAGCCUUGGCUGGCAGGGAAUUGCUACAUAGACCAGGCCUGGCCUCAAACUCACAAAAGAUCUAUCUGCCUCUGUCUUCUGAAUGCUAUGUGCCACCACGCCCAAGCCAGGUUUUAUUUUCUUGUGAAAAUUAUGAAGCCAGGCACUGUGGCUCAUGCCUUCUGAGAGGCUGAGGGAGGAGGAUUGCCAUAGUGUUCAAAGCCAGAAUGAGCCACUGGAACGUGGUAUGUAGUCCAAGCCGGCCUCAAACUCAUGGUAGUCCUCAUGCUAGAGAAUGCUGGGAUUACAGGCAGGAGCCACCACAUUCACCUAAUAAUGUGAGUUCUUGGGAUAAUUGAGUAAAAUACCACAGGUGGACAAAUGAAGUCAGAAAUUACUGAUUAUUUCCAGGUCCAGGUCAUUCUGGUGGUCACAAAAUGACUGCAGUGAUUCAGAGCUCAGCUAGAACUGACCCUGGUCCAAAGCAGCUCUCUUGU
rnacentral:lncRNA from 1 species